GCCGGAAUAGCUCAUUUGGUAGAGCAAAGGACUGAAAAUCCUCGUGUCACCAGUUCAAAUA
rnacentral:tRNA from 1 species